CCUACGGGAGGCAGCAGUGAGGAAUAUUGGUCAAUGGCCGAGAGGCUGAACCAGCCAAGUCGCGUGAGGGAAGAAUGUCCUACGGAUCGUAAACCUCUUUUGUCGGGGAGCAAAGUCACCCACGUGUGGGGGUUGGAGAGUACCUGAAGAAAAAGCAUCGGCUAACUCCGUGCCAGCAGCCGCGGUAAUACGGAGGAUGCGAGCGUUAUCCGGAUUUAUUGGGGUUAAAGGGUGAUUAGGCGGGUUAUAUAGGCAGCGGUAAAAUCGUGGGGCUCAACGCCGUCCAGCCGGUGAAACUGAUGACUUUGAGUGGGCGAGAAGUAGGCGGAAUGCGUGGUGUAGCGGUGAAAUGCAUAGAUAUCACGCAGAACUCCGAUUGCGAAGGCAGCAUACCGGCGCCCGACUGACGCUGAAGCACGAAAGCGUGGGUAUCGAACAGGAUUAGAUACCCGUGUAGUC
rnacentral:rRNA from 1 species